GCCUACGGGGGGCAGCAGUGGGGAAUCUUCCGCAAUGGGCGAAAGCCUGACGGAGCAAUGCCGCGUGAGUGAAGAAGGCCUUCGGGUUGUAAAACUCUGUCCUUAUCGAAGAGAGGUGGGUAUGUGAAUAAUGUACUCAUAGGACGGUAGAUAAGGAGGAAGCCCCGGCUAACUACGUGCCAGCAGCCGCGGUAAUACGUAGGGGGCGAGCGUUGUCCGGAAUCACUGGGCGUAAAGGGCGCGUAGGCGGUUGAGUAAGACAGAUGUGAAAUCCCCGAGCUUAACUCGGGAAUGGCAUAUGUGAC
rnacentral:rRNA from 1 species